UCGUCGUUACAGUGAAGGGCUAUCAACAUUUGAAACAAUAACAAACAGUCAACAGCAAAUGGAAUGUAAAUGUCUUCUGAGGAUGCAGAAGAUCUUUUACAUGAUUCAGUUAUUGAAUUAUUUGACUUAUCUGAUUAUUCUUCAACUUUGCCAAACGAUGCUAAAGAAAGAUAUGUUGCUAAGCUUAAUGAAGUACAGUGUGACUGUCCUUACGUCAUAGAGAAUGAAUAUUGGACUUCCAGUACACAAGAGCUAGAAACAAUAUUACCAUCAGUUGAAUUUGGAGAUGUUUGGAACUAUCUAGUCUACAGAAAACAGUUUUAUACAGCUAACGAUAUGAAUAAUUAUAAGAGCUGCAAGUCUUAUGAGAUAAUUUUUGGAGAUGGGCUGUUUUUUUAGUUCAAGGCAUUCAAACUUACAAAUAAUACUCAUUUUCUAUGACGUAAGGACAGUCACACUGUACUUCAUUAAGCUUAGCAACAUAUCUUUCUUUAGCAUCGUUUGGCAAAGUUGAAGAAUAAUCAGAUAAGUCAAAUAAUUCAAUAACUGAAUCAUGUAAAAGAUCUUCUGCAUCCUCAGAAGACAUUUACAUUCCUAAUUAUACCAAGAAAUUUAAGUUUUAUAAGAAAAUUACACAUUUUUUAAAGUUAC